AGCUCCUAAGGGCACGGGGGGGAUGCCUAGGCGUCAUCAGGAUUCGGGCGUGGAAGGCUGCGAAAAGUCCGGGGGAGCUGCCCAACGAGCGUCGAUCCCGGAAUGCCCGAGGAGACCCGGGGAACUGAAACAUCUCAGUACCCGGAGGAAAGGAAAUCAACCGAGACUCCCUCAGUAGCGGCGAGCGAACGGGGACGAGCCCAAACCGGACGGGACACCGUCCGGGGUAGCGGGGCCGGAGUCGUGGAAUGGACCGAGUCGAGCCGAAGCCCUUUGGAAAACGGCACCGCAGCGGGUGACAGUCCCGUAGGCGAAGGCGAGGUCCUCCUAUCCGGUACCCAAGUAGGGUCGGGCACGUGAAACCCGGCCUGAAUCGGCGGGGACCGAUCCCGCAAGGCUAAGCACUCGAUGACGACCGAUAGCGAACCCAGUAGGGCGACCGAACGGUGGGAAGAACCCGAUCAGGGGAGGAGACUGAACCUGAAACCCCGUGCCUACAAGCGGUGGGAGGGC
rnacentral:rRNA from 1 species